UUAAUUGAAGAGUUUGAUCAUGGCUCAGAUUGAACGCUGGCGGCAGGCCUAACACAUGCAAGUCGAGCGGUAGCACAAGAGAGCUUGCUCUCUGGGUGACGAGCGGCGGACGGGUGAGUAAUGUCUGGGAAACUGCCUGAUGGAGGGGGAUAACUACUGGAAACGGUAGCUAAUACCGCAUGAUGUCUUCGGACCAAAGUGGGGGACCUUCGGGCCUCACGCCAUCAGAUGUGCCCAGAUGGGAUUAGCUAGUAGGUGGGGUAAUGGCUCACCUAGGCGACGAUCUCUAGCUGGUCUGAGAGGAUGACCAGCCACACUGGAACUGAGACACGGUCCAGACUCCUACGGGAGGCAGCAGUGGGGAAUAUUGCACAAUGGGCGCAAGCCUGAUGCAGCCAUGCCGCGUGUAUGAAGAAGGCCUUCGGGUUGUAAAGUACUUUCAGCGAGGAGGAAGGCAUUAAGGUUAAUAACCUUGGUGAUUGACGUUACUCGCAGAAGAAGCACCGGCUAACUCCGUGCCAGCAGCCGCGGUAAUACGGAGGGUGCAAGCGUUAAUCGGAAUUACUGGGCGUAAAGCGCACGCAGGCGGUUGAUUAAGUCAGAUGUGAAAUCCCCGAGCUUAACUUGGGAACUGCAUUUGAAACUGGUCAGCUAGAGUCUUGUAGAGGGGGUAGAAUUCCAGGUGUAGCGGUGAAAUGCGUAGAGAUCUGGAGGAAUACCGGUGGCGAAGGCGGCCCCCUGGACAAAGACUGACGCUCAGGUGCGAAAGCGUGGGGAGCAAACAGGAUUAGAUACCCUGGUAGUCCACGCUGUAAACGAUGUCGACUUGGAGGUUGUGCCCUUGAGGCGUGGCUUCCGGAGCUAACGCGUUAAGUCGACCGCCUGGGGAGUACGGCCGCAAGGUUAAAACUCAAAUGAAUUGACGGGGGCCCGCACAAGCGGUGGAGCAUGUGGUUUAAUUCGAUGCAACGCGAAGAACCUUACCUACUCUUGACAUCCAGAGAAUUUGCUAGAGAUAGCUUAGUGCCUUCGGGAACUCUGAGACAGGUGCUGCAUGGCUGUCGUCAGCUCGUGUUGUGAAAUGUUGGGUUAAGUCCCGCAACGAGCGCAACCCUUAUCCUUUGUUGCCAGCGAGUAAUGUCGGGAACUCAAAGGAGACUGCCGGUGAUAAACCGGAGGAAGGUGGGGAUGACGUCAAGUCAUCAUGGCCCUUACGAGUAGGGCUACACACGUGCUACAAUGGCAUAUACAAAGAGAAGCGAACUCGCGAGAGCAAGCGGACCUCAUAAAGUAUGUCGUAGUCCGGAUUGGAGUCUGCAACUCGACUCCAUGAAGUCGGAAUCGCUAGUAAUCGUAGAUCAGAAUGCUACGGUGAAUACGUUCCCGGGCCUUGUACACACCGCCCGUCACACCAUGGGAGUGGGUUGCAAAAGAAGUAGGUAGCUUAACCUUCGGGAGGGCGCUUACCACUUUGUGAUUCAUGACUGGGGUGAAGUCGUAACAAGGUAACCGUAGGGGAACCUGCGGUUGGAUCACCUCCUUACCUAAAGA
rnacentral:rRNA from 1 species